CAGUAGUUUUAUUUUCAUUAAUCCACUGAAAUGCUGUCACAAACUCCUGAACACUUUCUUUCAUGAGGGGCUUCAGGGGGAAGACUGAAGAGAAGUUAUCUUUCUAAUACAGCGCUCUGACAGGCCGACAGAAAAUCUGAUCACUAGAGCAUUGGCCUGCAGACGCUCACCAAUGUCAUAUAUUUAAGGAACAAAAAAAGAAAAGGCUUU
rnacentral:lncRNA from 1 species